UGUCCUUAGUUGCCAGCACGUAAUGGUGGGAACUCUAAGGAGACUGCCGGUGACAAACCGGAGGAAGGUGGGGACGACGUCAAGUCAUCAUGGCCCUUACGACCUGGGCUACACACGUGCUACAAUGGCCAGUACAGAGGGCUGCAAGCCCGCGAGGGGGAGCUAAUCUCACAAAGCUGGUCGUAGUCCGGAUCGCAGUCUGCAACUCGACUGCGUGAAGUUGGAAUCGCUAGUAAUCGUGAAUCAGAAUGUCACGGUGAAUACGUUC
rnacentral:rRNA from 1 species